rnacentral:rRNA from 1 species
UACAGAGGGGGCAAGCGUUGUUCGGAAUUACUGGGCGUAAAGGCGCGUAGGCGGCCUGCUAAGUCGAACGUGAAAUCCCUGGGCUCAACCCAGGAACUGCGUCCGAUACUGGUUGGCUUGAAUCCGGGAGAGGGACGUGGAAUUCCAGGUGUAGAGGUGAAAUUCGUAGAUAUUCGCAAGAACACCAGUGGCGAAGGCGGCUCACUGGCCCGAUACUGACGCUGAGGCACGAAAGCGUGGGGAGCAACAGG